GACGAACGCUGGCGGCGUGCUUAACACAUGCAAGUCGAGCGGAAAGGCCCUUUCGGGGGUACUCGAGCGGCGAACGGGUGAGUAACACGUGAGUAAUCUGCCCUUGGCUUUGGGAUAACCACCGGAAACGGUGGCUAAUACCGGAUAUGACGGGCUCCGGCAUCGGGGUUCGUGGAAAGUUUUUUCGGCCAGGGAUGUGCUCGCGGCCUAUCAGCUUGUUGGUGGGGUAAUGGCCUACCAAGGCUUCGACGGGUAGCCGGCCUGAGAGGGUGACCGGCCACACUGGGACUGAGACACGGCCCAGACUCCUACGGGAGGCAGCAGUGGGGAAUAUUGGACAAUGGGCGGAAGCCUGAUCCAGCAACGCCGCGUGAGGGAUGACGGCCUUCGGUUGGUAAACCUC
rnacentral:rRNA from 1 species